ACUCCUACGGGAGGCAGCAGUGGGGAAUAUUGCACAAUGGGCGCAAGCCUGAUGCAGCCAUGCCGCGUGUGUGAAGAAGGCCUUCGGGUUGUAAAGCACUUUCAGCGGGGAGGAAGGCGAUAAGGUUAAUAACCUUGUCGAUUGACGUUACCCGCAGAAGAAGCACCGGCUAACUCCGUGCCAGCAGCCGCGGUAAUACGGAGGGU
rnacentral:rRNA from 1 species